UGCAAGUCGAACGGAAAGGCCCUUCGGGGUACUCGAGUGGCGAACGGGUGAGUAACACGUGGGUGAUCUGCCCUGCACUUUGGGAUAAGCCUGGGAAACUGGGUCUAAUACCGGAUAGGACCACGCGCUUCAUGGUGUGUGGUGGAAAGCUUUUGCGGUGUGGGAUGGGCCCGCGGCCUAUCAGCUUGUUGGUGGGGUAAUGGCCUACCAAGGCGACGACGGGUAGCCGGCCUGAGAGGGUGACCGGCCACACUGGGACUGAGAUACGGCCCAGACUCCUACGGGAGGCAGCAGUGGGGAAUAUUGCACAAUGGGCGCAAGCCUGAUGCAGCGACGCCGCGUGAGGGAUGACGGCCUUCGGGUUGUAAACCUCUUUCAAUAGGGACGAAGCGCAAGUGACGGUACCUAUAGAAGAAGGACCGGCCAACUACGUGCCAGCAGCCGCGGUAAUACGUAGGGUCCGAGCGUUGUCCGGAAUUACUGGGCGUAAAGAGCUCGUAGGUGGUUUGUCGCGUUGUUCGUGAAAACUCACAGCUUAACUGUGGGCGUGCGGGCGAUACGGGCAGACUAGAGUACUGCAGGGGAGACUGGAAUUCCUGGUGUAGCGGUGGAAUGCGCAGAUAUCAGGAGGAACACCGGUGGCGAAGGCGGGUCUCUGGGCAGUAACUGACGCUGAGGAGCGAAAGCGUGGGGAGCGAACAGGAUUAGAUACCCUGGUAGUCCACGCCGUAAACGGUGGGUACUAGGUGUGGGUUUCCUUCCUUGGGAUCCGUGCCGUAGCUAACGCAUUAAGUACCCCGCCUGGGGAGUACGGCCGCAAGGCUAAAACUCAAAGGAAUUGACGGGGGCCCGCACAAGCGGCGGAGCAUGUGGAUUAAUUCGAUGCAACGCGAAGAACCUUACCUGGGUUUGACAUGCACAGGACGCCAGUAGAGAUAUUGGUUCCCUUGUGGCCUGUGUGCAGGUGGUGCAUGGCUGUCGUCAGCUCGUGUCGUGAGAUGUUGGGUUAAGUCCCGCAACGAGCGCAACCCUUGUCUCAUGUUGCCAGCACGUUAUGGUGGGGACUCGUGAGAGACUGCCGGGGUCAACUCGGAGGAAGGUGGGGAUGACGUCAAGUCAUCAUGCCCCUUAUGUCCAGGGCUUCACACAUGCUACAAUGGCCGGUACAAAGGGCUGCGAUGCCGUGAGGUGGAGCGAAUCCUUUCAAAGCCGGUCUCAGUUCGGAUCGGGGUCUGCAACUCGACCCCGUGAAGUCGGAGUCGCUAGUAAUCGCAGAUCAGCAACGCUGCGGUGAAUACGUUCCCGGGCCUUGUACACACCGCCCGUCACGUCAUGAAAGUCGGUAACACCCGAAGCCGGUGGCCUAACCCUUGUGGAGGGAGCCGUCGAA
rnacentral:rRNA from 2 species